ACGGAGGGUGCAAGCGUUAUCCGGAUUCACUGGGUUUAAAGGGUGCGUAGGAGGACAGGUAAGUCCGUGGUGAAAUCUCUGAGCUUAACUCAGAAACUGCCGUGGAUACUCUCUGUCUUGAAUAUCGUGGAGGUGAGCGGAAUAUGUCAUGUAGCGGUGAAAUGCUUAGAUAUGACAUAGAACACCAAUUGCGAAGGCAGCUCGCUACACGAAUAUUGACUCUGAGGCACGAAAGCGUGGGGAUCAAACAGGA
rnacentral:rRNA from 1 species